rnacentral:lncRNA from 1 species
UUGAUCUGAACUUUUAUUAGCCAUCCACAUCUCACUCUUGCAAUUUACAGAUGGAGGGAACAAAAAUUCGAACUCAGCAGCAGCUUGACAGAACUUUGGAGGACACAAAUCUGAAUAUUCCAUCAAUGGUGCCUCCCGUCUUUGAACAAAUGUAGAAUGAAGAAGGUAUGAACUGUGAAAACUUUACCCACGGUGAAAAAGUGCAUAGUGUACAUGAUGAUUGUUGAAUGUAUACUAGUACAAAGUAACAGACAUUUAGGGCCUGUUGGCUCCAAGGUGCUAAAGUUUAGCACCCGUCACAUUGGAUGUUUGAAUACUAAUUAGGAGUAUUAAACAUAGGAUAAUUACAAAACUAAUUGCACAGAUGUAGUCUAAUUCGCGAGACGAAUCUAUUAAGCCUAAUUAGUCCAUGAUUUGACAAUGUGGUUCUUCCUGUAAUCAUUUGGUAAUGAUGGAUUAAUUAGGCUUAAUAGAUUCGACUCGCGAAUUAGACUCCAUCUGUGCAAUUAGUUUUGUAAUUAGCUCAUGUUUAGUCCUCCUAAUUAGCAUCCGAAUAUCCGAUGUGACACUGCUAAAGUUUAGCACAUGGUAUCAAACACCUCUUUGUAUUUCUGUGGCAGGUACUGACGGGCAUAGUAAGCUAUUGGACAAGGAGCUGAUGGCUAGUACCAAAAGGAUCUGUCCAGCAAAAAGAAAUGCAGAUGUGCUCCUCACGGACAACACUGCUACCCAAGAAGUCAAAAACAGCCAUCUUACGGGACCACCAACCCCGCCACACUUAAUCGUCUAGCUCAACAGGAUGGCAGUAACAUCCUGAUGUUUCGCAAACUAGCAGAAAGUAUAACGGAACUAGGCAUAGUAGACAGCAUGUAAACAUUCACGGACAAGAUCGAUGAACUUCUCUUUCUCGAGGAAAAUGGAUUCAGCGUGCAAGAAUUGCUGCACUGGCUGAAUGAACUGAUCAAGAUCAAAUCAGCUGAUUAUACAAAAAAUCUUGAAGGGAAACGCACACUAGUAGAGAAUUGACUUUCGAUCCGACCCCUUUUGUCCCGGUUUAAAGUUGGCCCGGGACAAAAGGGGGUGCGCAGGGGUGGGGAAAAUUAGAGGGGAGCAUUACUCCCGGUUGGUAAUUGCAACCGGGACUAAAGGCCCCCCUUUAGUCCCGGUUGCAACGGCUAGCUGGGGGGCGUCGGUGGCGGGACCCUUUUAUCGGUUGGAGGAUCCAACCGGGAUAAACUUCCAACCGGGACAAAAGGUGUUUCCUUUUGUCUCGGUUGGAGUUUUUAACCGGGAUAAAAACUCAUCCCCCACUAUAUCCCGAGACAGAGACUUUCUUCUUCCUCCAGCCCGAGCCAGUCCAACACAUUGAUAGAGAGCUGAGCUUCACCUACUCUCCGGUGGUGCUAAAGCAAGGGAGGUGCUGCCCGAAGUUUUUUCCCUCAUUUUCGUGGGAAUUUGACUCAGCCAACACAAGUGUUGCGAAGGUUUGCUACUUCAUCCUCGUGUUAUGCUUUGAUUUAUGCUUUGGAGAUGGAAAGAUUAUUUGCUACAAUGUGAUGAUGAAGUAGAAAAAUGGAGAGGUAUUUUGAGCUAGAAUGUGAGAGAGAUUGAUGUGUCAUAUAUAGUAUGCAUUAUUUCAGUGGUUUAAAAAUGAUGCUACCUUGUCUAGACGGUUUAUCUUAUCAAAUUCAAUAUGGUUUUUUAAAUCCAUAUACUUGUUGAACUUGCAUACCGUGUUCAUUUCGGCGAGAAUGUUCUCCGCCGAGCAGCAACGUAUGUUAAGAUGGAGGUUCGAUUCUACGAGAAAGAGUGGAUAUGGACAUCGUGACCGUGUCCCCUUUUCCGUAGCAUCUAACCUCUUUCAUGACGAAGUGCGGUGCCGCCCAGCUGAGGACAUCCUCGCGAAAUGAACACGGUCUUCAAGUUCAACAACUUCUGUAGUGGUAAGAAAAGAAUUUUUGUACAUAGAUAACUUCUGCUACUUGUUGAACUUGCAUACCGUGUUCAUCUCGCCGAGGAUGUUCUCCGCCGAGCAGCAACGUAUGUCAAGAAGGAGGUUCGAUUCUACGAGAAAGAGUGGAUACGGACAUCGUGACCGUGUCCCCUUUUCCGUAGCAUCUAACCUCUUUAAUGACGAAGUGCGGUGCCGCCCAGUUGAGGACAUCCUCGCGAGAUGAUCACGGUCUUCAAGUUGAACAACUUAUGCAGUGUUAAGAUAAUAAUUUUUGUACAUAGAUGGCUUCUGCUACUGGAGGAAGUGGCGAUGGUGGGGGCGAUCGUGGUUCCUAUUAUGGCAAGGUUCCAAUCAUAGUUGGCCCUCAGCAUAAGCCGAAGAAAAAGAGCGCGCUGGAAAAAGCAAUGCUUCGUUAUUUGCAGCAACGUCAUGAAGAAGCUGUUGCCGCGGGUCAGGAACCUUCUUUUGGUGGUCGUUAUGCUCCACCCUCAGUCCCGGGUGUUUCACGUCCACUUAGUACUACCGUUUCAGGCGGCACAAAUAAACCUAAGGAUGAGGUUGGGUCAGCGGAACCUUCGUCUUCACCGUCCAAGGAUGCUUAAAGUCCUCCGUGAUAAUAACCAGUGGAUGGCUUAUUGUAUUGUAUCAUGUUGUUUGAGACUUUAAUUUAAAUAUGUGUAUUUGGAUCUUCAUGUUGUUGUAUUGUACCAUGUUGUUUGGAUCUUUAAUCGAUUUUCACGCGUAAUCCAUUGUCAAGUGUAAUCCAUUUUCAUGCGUAAUACGAUGCAGAUGGACCGGCAAUGGAUGUAUAAUGCAGACAUGCGGAGCAAGGCGUUUAUUGAUGGCUUGCAUUAUUUUCUCGAAGUGGCAAAAGCGAACAAGCCAGAGAAUGGGUUCGUAUGUUGUCCAUGCUUCCAAUGCAAUAACAGGAAGGAGUAUUCAAAGGAUUCCUGGGGGACUAUUCACAGCCACUUGUUUAAAUACGGUUUCAUGCCUAACUAUUUGGUUUGGACCAAGCACGGUGAACUAGGGGUUGUAAUGGAAGAUGGCGAGGAGGAGGAGGAAGAUGACACCAUUCCAGACUGGGUUGCAGACCAAGCUUUUGCAGGUACUACAAUGGGCGAGGCCUAUGAAGAUGAGUUUGCAGAAAAUGACCCUACUGAUGACCUUGGUCAGGUGAUACGAGAUGCAUACAGAGAUUGCGAAACUGAGAAGGAAGCAGCAAAGUUGCAGCGCAUGAUAGAUGAUCACCAAAAAUUGUUGUACCCAGGUUGCCCGCAGGGCCAUAAAAAACUAGGUACGACACUAGAAUUUGUGCAAUGGAAGGUAAAAAAUGGUGUGUCCGAUAAGGCAUUUCAGGGGAUGUUGAACAUUGUCAAGAAGAUUCUCCCCGAGAAUAAUGAAUUACCGUCCACAACAUAUGAAGCUAAACAGAUUAUUUGCCCUCUCGGAUUGGAUGUUCAGAAGAUACACGCAUGCCCUAAUGACUGUAUCCUCUAUCGUGGUGAUGAAUACGAGAAAUUGGAUGCUUGUCCCGUCUGCGAAGCCCUGCAGUAUAAGAUCAGGCGAGAUGAUCCUGGUGAUGUCGAGGGGCAGUCUCCCAAGAAGAGAGUUCCCGCGAAGGUGAUGUGGUAUUUCCCUAUAAUACCACGCUUGAAGCGCUUGUUCAGGAACAAGGCGAAUGCUAAGUUGAUGCGAUGGCACAAAGAAGACCGUAAGGAAGAUAAGAUGCUGAGACACCCCGCAGAUGGGGCACAGUGGAGAUCAAUUGAUAGAACAUUCCCAGACUUUGAAAGUGAAGCAAGGAACAUAAGGUUUGGUUUAAGCACUGAUGGAUUCAAUCCAUUCGGUGAGUUGAGUAGUGGUCACAGUACUUGGCCUGUGACCCUUUGUAUGUUCAACCUUCCUCCUUGGCUGUGCAUGAAGCGGAAGUUCAUUAUGAUGCCGGCGCUUAUCCAAGGCCCAAACCAACCCGGCAACGACAUUGACGUGUACCUAAGGCCGUUGGUUGAUGACCUUUUACAGCUCUGGAAGGAAGAAGGUGUACGUGUGUGGGAUGAGGAUAGACAAGAGAUCUUUAAUCUACGAGCACUGUUGUUCGUAACCAUCAACGAUUGGCCUGCAUUGAGUAACCUUUCAGGACAGACAAAUAAGGAAUAUCGGGCAUGCACCCACUGUUUAGACGACACAGACAGCAUGUACUUGAAGCACUGUAAGAAGGUCGUCUAUAUGGGUCAUCGUCGAUUUCUCCCUGCUCACCACCAGCUGAGAAAGAGCGGGAUGCAUUUCAAAGGGACGCCAGACCAUCGUAAAAAACCUGCACACCGUAAUGGAAAGCGUGUGUUCGAGAUGAUGAAGGAUGUAUAUGUAGUCUUCGGAAAGGGACUUGGUAGCCAACCUGUAUCGAACGACGAUAACGGACAUGCACCCAUGUGGAAGAAAAAGUCAAUAUUUUGGGAACUACCUUAUUGGGAAAUCCUAGAGGUUCGCAACGCAAUAGACGUGAUGCACCUGACGAAGAAUCUUUGCGUGAACGUGCUAGGCUUCAUGGGUGUUUAUGGAACCUCAAAAGAUACAUUGGAAGCACGAUAGGACCUGAAAGCCAUGGGGCAACGAGAUGACCUACAUCCGGAAAAGAGAGAUAAUGGACAGCACUACUUACGUCCUGCCAGUUACACUCUCAGCAAGGAAGAGAAGGAUAGCAUGUUUGAAUGCUUGAAUAGUAUGAAGGUCCCGUCUGGGUACUCCUCGAAUAUAAAGGGAAUAAUAAAUAUGAAACAAAAGAAGUUUACAAAUCUCAAGGCUCAUGACUGCCACAUGUUGAUGACCCAGUUGCUUCCGGUUGCACUGAGGGGUGUUCUACCAGAAAAUGUCCGGUUGCCGCUCGUAAAGCUAUGCGCGUUUCUCAAUGCGAUUUCGCAGAAGGCAAUCGAUCCAUCCAAGCUAUCAAAGCUACAAAACGAUGUGGUGCAAUGUCUUGUCAGUUUUGAGUUGUUAUUCCCACCAUCCUUCUUCAAUAUUAUGAUGCACUUACUGGUUCACCUAGUAAAAGAGAUUGGUAUUCUCGGACCUGUAUACCUGCACAAUAUGUGGCCUUUCGAGAGGUUCAUGGCAGUCCUAAAAAACUAUGUUCUUAAUCGUGCCCGUCCAGAAGGAAGCAUCGCCAGGGGAUAUGGAACAGAGGAGGUGAUCGAGUUUUGUGUUAAUUUUAUUUAUUCAAUUGACUCGAUUGGGGUUCCAACUUCACACCACGAGGGGAGGCUCCGAGGAAUGGGCACCCUUGGAAGGAAAUCAAGUUUGAGCAAUGAUACUGAUUUGUUCGACAAGGCACACUACACUGUUCUACAAUAGUCAUCCUUUGUGUCUCCGUAUAUCGAGCAGCACAGGCAGAUGGUAGCUUCCAAAAACCCGACCAAAUCCGAUGCUUGGCUUACCCGUCAUCACAUGGAAACUUUUCCCUCCUAGUUGCGCCAACAACUUAUGGGUAACUCUGAGAUUCACCCACAGCUUGCCUGGUUAGCCAGGGGACCUGCUACCACAAUCAUCAAAUUCCAAGGCUAUGAGAUAAAUGGUUACACAUUUUACACGAGAGCCCAGGACCAGAAAAGCACGAACCAGAAUAGUGGUGUCCGCAUAGAUGCCAUGGACAGAAAUAAUAGCAAGGAGUCGUAUUAUGGUUUCAUACAGGAGAUAUGGGAACUCGAAUACGGACCGCUGUACAUCCCUCUAUUUCUUUGCAAUUGGGUGAAGCUAACUGUCGUCACCAAAGAUCAGUACGGAAUGACAAUAGUAGAUCUGAGCAAGACUGGAUACAGUGAUGACCCAUUCGUACUUGCCAAUGAUGUGCAUCAGGUGUUCUAUGUGAAGGACAUGUGCAGCAAACCCAAGAGGAAUCCAGAAGAGACAUGGGAGCCAAAGUGCCACAUAGUUCUUUCAGGUAAAAGAAAAAUCAUGGGAGUCGAGGAUAAAACAGACCAAUCAGAUGAUUAUGAUCAGUUUGAUGGCAUGCCUCCAUUCGCCGUUGAAGUUGAUCCAAGCAUCCUGCUAUCCAAAGAAGAGGCUCCGUACUUACGCCGCGAGCAUGAUCAAGGAACUUUCGUGAAGAAGAAAUUUUACAACGUUGUAUUGUAAUGCGUUAAAUGUACAUGACCUUUGUGUAUUAAUUGAUACAAUUUGUCAUUUACCCUAUGUAUGAUUUCAUGUGUUAUUAAAUUUGUUAGGUGAAGAUUUUUUAGAUAAACAUGAACAUUGUUAACCACAUACUAACAUGGAUUUUUCUGCGCAUUCAAAUAAUUUAAUUGAAUAAUUUCUUGAUCACAGCAAUGCAGUAAAAUAAAUAUUUUACAGGCUAGAUGAGUUGGUAUAAAAUUAAUGAUUACUUCAUACUUAUUGUCAAUUUACUCGUUAAUUAAAUAUAUUUUUGCAUGUACAGAAUCUGUGAAGGUUUUGUUUUUCAUCCUGAAAUGCAGUGAAAAGGUAAAAUAAAAUCCAUUUCCAAAAAACAGGCGGGAGAAGAAAAAUAGGAAAAAAGACAUUUUGUCCCGGGUGCUAACAGCAACCGGGACAAAAGGCCCCCCUUUUAUCCCGGUUGCAAACGACAACCGGGAUAAAAGGGUACGUUUCGUCUCCCGCCCGAACGUACCCUUUUUAUCCCGGUUGCCAACUGCAACCGGGAUAAAAGGCCCCCCUUUUAUCCCGGUUGGUGACGGGACCUGGGAUAAAAGGCUCUUUUGUCCCGGGUCCCAUUACGAACCGGGAUAAUAGGGGGGGGUUAAAAGGCACUGUACUCCCUUCUACCCCCCGCCAGUUACACACUUAGCCAAAAUUUCGCCAAGUCCCGCGCGUUCUCCGCCGUCGCCGCCCGUCCGCCUCCCUCGCCGGCCGCCGCCGUCGUCGUCCCCCAUUGCGCCGUUGACGUCCCCCAUUGCGCCGUCGUCGUCCCCCGGCCGGCCCGCCUGGAUCCCCUCCUCGUCCGUCGACGCGCCCGGCCCCCGGCCACCUCGUCGCCUCCGGCCACCGGCUCCACAUCCUCGUCGCUGGCUCCAUCCUCGUCGCCCCUCGUCGCCGUCUCGUCGCCGUCCCGCCUACGCCGCCGUCGUCGUCGUCGCCUCGGCAGCUGCCAUCCUCGCCGCCCCGGCCGCCGCCGUCCCGCCGACCCGGCCGCCGCCAUCCCGCCGCCCCGGCCGUUGCCCUGCGCGCGAGAGGUCUGCUGCCGCGCCGGCCGGGGCGCCGGGAGGGUUUUCUUUUUAAGUUAUAAAAUUAUGUUUUAUUUUUAGAUAGAUUUCUAAUUUUGUUAAGUUAGAUUUUUAGAUUUCUAAUUUUGUGAAGUUAGAUUUUUAGAUUUCUAGUUAGUUUGUUAAGUUAGAUUUCUAGUUAGUUUGUUAAGUUAGAGUUGAUACAGAGAAAAUGAAGUUAGAAAUUCGUAGGAUGCAUCGCCGUCCCCUCCGCCGAGUAGCCGCCGUGAUCGCUGCCGUGAUCGCCGCCGUCCCGCCGCCCAUCACAACGUAGUAGGCACCGCCCGUGGUUCCGGUGAACCGUCCCCGCCUCCGUCUUACCGCCGUCCUGACCGCCGCCGUCCCGCCUCCGCCGCCCUGAUCGCCGCCGUCACAAUCUAGGCACCGCACGUGGAUAUUGUUACAAAUUCGUAGAAAUUCGUCAAAAUUCGUAGAAAUUCGUAGAAAUUCGUCAAAAUUCGUAGAAAUUCGUAGAAAUUUGUAGAAAUUCAUAGAAAUUCGUAGAAAUUUGUAGAAAUUCAUAGAAAUUUGUAGAAAUUCGUACAAAUUCGUACAAAUUCGUAGAAAUUUGUAGAAAUUCGUAGAAAUUUGUAGAAAUUCAUAGAAAUUUGUAGAAAUUCGUCAAAAUUCAUAGAAAUUUAUAGAAAUUCAUAGAAAUUUGUAGAAAUUCAUAGAAAUUUGUAGAAAUUCGUCAAAAUUCAUAGAAAUUUGUAUAAAUAUUCCGGACUUUGUACGAUUCAUGUUAUUUUAUGAUUUCAUUAUAUACAUGUAUGAUUCCGGACUUUGUAGGACUUUGUACAAAUUUGUAGUAAGAUGAUUUCUAUGACUGUCAUGUAUGAUUCCAUGUAUGUCUCCAUCAAUAGUUGAAAUGGCAGACGAUGAGACCGCAAGGUAUAUCAUGGAGCAGAUAAUCGCUGGUGAUGGUAGUGGCGACAACGUUCCACUAUCAUACACGGAUGAAGAGGGCACCCAAGCGGACAUGUUCCUCAACAUGUCCGCCGAUGGGAAUGAAGAGCAAUAGCCGCAGCAACAACUUGCCGUGGCGGAAGGUUCCAGCGAGGUAUAUACAACCAUUCUUGUAUUGUUUCACGCCACCGCUACUACUACGUACUAAUUAACGAAUCUUCAACUGUUAGCCCUCCGGAUCGACACAAGGGCAGAAGACCCGAGGUCGUACAAAGGUGAUGGAAGGGAGGCUUGUCAUCACCGAAGUUACAGAAGAGGGCAGGCCGGUUGCUCCCGAGAAAGUAGCAAAGAAGUACGUGAGUCAAAUCAGGGCAAUCGUCCGGGACAACGUGCCAAUCAGCAUCAGAGAAUGGAAGGGCAGAAGCGAUAAUCCGUACGCCCUUCCAGAGACAGAAAAGAAUAUGCUGUGGGAAGACGUGAAGAGACAUUUCACAUUCCCCGAAGGAUAUAGUGAGAAGGAUGUCAAAGCGUGGACGCUUAAGAAGAUGGCUACUCAAUUCCAGACAUUCAAGAAGAUGCUGGACACCCACUACAUCAAGAAGGGCAAAACUCCAGACUUCAACGCGUGGCCAAAGUUGAGGGACCACUGGGAUGCAUUUGUUGAAUACAAGAGGAGUGAAGAAGGUGUGAAAAAGAUCACGACCAACACAGCAAAUGCUAGUCAGAAGGGCUACCACCAUCAUUUGGGGCGAGGUGGGUAUGGCUCAGUAAUUCCCAAGUGGAGGAAGAUGGAACAAGAUCUGAUCGAACGGGGAAUCGUACCUGCAACUACUGAAUGGCCCGAACGAUCAAAGAACUGGUACUACGCUCAUGGAGGCUCCCAAAGCCAAGAGGAUGGGACGUUGAUUUUCAAUGACACAAUACGUGAGAAGGCCGAACAUCUCAUGAAGAACAUUGAAGAUUCCAAGGCUGGGAGGUUGAGGGUGGACCGAGAAAAUGAUGAGCUCACAUUGGCCCUCGGUAAUCCAGAGCACCCAGGACGUUGCCGGGGGUUCGGGGUGGUUCCGUGGAAGUUCGCUUUCUGAGGCGACAGCGCCUCUUACAGAAGCCGGAAGCGAAGAAAGGAACAGAUCGAGGAGAGCUGGCGGCAGAUGCUAGAACAAAGAAUGAUGGAUGAAAUCAAUCGGCGGGUGGCCGACGCAGUUGCGGAGUUGGCCCAAUCUGGAGCAAUGCCGAAUCCUAACACCGCCAGCCCUUCUCAACGCCUCGGUAGCAGUUGUGCUUCUACAGGGGUCCCCGAUGCGAAAACGCCCAGGUUACCCAUGGAGGAGCAACGGUUCCCCGUGGAUGCCAUCACGCAACGGACCUCAUGUGAGCUGCAUGCACCGGUCGGCAACCUCACUAUUAAGGUAUACUUAUACAUAAUAUUUAUGCAAUCUUGUCAAUUGAUCCAGGCCUCGAGAUCGGAGUUCAACUUGUUUACUUCUGCUAUAUGUACAGGUAGCGUACGGGAGUGCGUUAGCAACCCUGGCAGGGCAGAGCAGUGAUGGCAUGGACAUUCCAACAGGCUACGCCAGCGUCUGCGUCGAGCAAAUAGUUAAUCCCCAGUAUGAAGGUCUAGAGCUCGACUUCCCGGGAGGCGACGGGAAAAAGACAUUGGCAGAUGCGCUUCAUGGGAUCAUUCUAUGGAAGAAACGCUACAUCAUUAUUCCCAGCACGGAGCCAUCUCCUCAGACCUCAAGACCGCUCCCCGUAGAUCCCCAGCAGCGACCUUCUCCUCAUACCUCGAGACCGGCAUCUCCUGCUCCAGGACCGUCCCUUCCAUCUAUAUCAAGGUCUCCAUCUCCACCACAUCCUGGUGCUGGGAGCGACGACGACAAUAACAACACCCCUCCCCGAUCACCGUCGCCGGCACCAAGAGCGGCCCCCUUGAAGGAACCUGCAGCACCACUAAAGAAGUCAUGAGCACCGCCUGCCAAGCAAAGACAGAGAAAGAAGAAAACAAAGGACCCUGAAGUGGCUCGUAAGGAACGCUGGGAGGCAAUGUCUCAUGAAGAACAGUGGGCAGAAAUCCAACGAGAGGCCAGUGAGUGGUUCAAGAAACAAGCCGAAUUAAAAAAGGCAAGGGAGAUGGAGCCACCGCCAGUAAGUCGGCGAGAUUUAAACUUUUUUAUCAGGAUGGAAGAAGGAGCCAAGAAAAGGAUACCACUCUUGUCAAACUAUGAACGGGCUCUAGUAAAGGCUGAUGAAAAGGAUAAAAGGAAAGGAAAAUCAUCCUCCAGCGGUCCAGUCCCCGACCUCAGCCAUUUAUCAAAAAAAGAUGCUCAACGGGUAAAAGCAAUGCCCUUGGAUCAACAAGCAAAUGUAUUGAAGUUCAUGGAAGAAACAGGUCUGGGACUUGAUGAAUGCAUAGGGCAAGUUGAGACGCCAACUGCACCGCCCCCUGAGCCGAAGUGGACUUAUGAGCUAGGCAAACCUCUAGUAAAGCCUUCAAUGGUACGGAAGCUAUCAACAAAGAUGUACGAAUUCCAUCAAUGGUACAUGAUGGCAUCCGCCAACUCGAGGGAGAUGAUCGGCAUGAAGGUAAAACCGAUAGAUUUUCACGGUGAAGGGGAGCAAGUGCUGUGGCUAGACUUCAAGGAUAUAUACGAAGUGUACCAUCAUGAUGCCCUGGACGUCUCUCUGAUCAGCGCUUGGAUUCUGUAAGUGUCCGUUUAUUAUCUCUACAUGUAAAUUUUGGCGUGCGUCACCGUACUAACUUCAUCUUCCAUUUCAUGUAGGAUGCUAAUUCAGACAUGCCGCCGAGAGGCGUACCUACAUGUAGGCUUCAUGGAUCCAUCUGUAGUUAACCAACAACAGAUACAAUUAGCGCCGGAAAAAACCUUUGCGGAACUAUACAAUUUCCUACACAAACAAACAUUCAAGGAUUUCAUACUACUUCCAUACAACUUCAAGUAAGUGUGUGUAUACCGUCUACUUUCGAUGUCUUUUUCCUUAUCUCUACAUGUUAGUUAGCUCUAAUAUGCAUGAACAUUUUACGCACGCAGCUUCCACUGGAUCCUUAUUAUAAUUGAGCCUGAAAGAAGCCACGUCACUGUCUUUAAUUCGUUAAGGAAAGAUCUGGUGGACUACCAAGAAUUGCAAGACAUGCUAGGCUUGUAAUAAUUAUGGACCUUUAUCUCUAUGCAAAAAUUUAUUUCCUAAAUUUUAUCCCUGUUACACUAUGUCAUUCAUUAUUCUAAUCCGCAGCGCAUGGAAACAAUUCAUAAGGACACACAAAGGUCCAUUCAAAGAAAAUCUUACAUGGAACACAGACUUCCCGGUACGUAUGCAGUCUGCACAUUUAUUACAUUGUAUAACAUGAAUAUUUCAUAACUUAUUUUUUUCCGCACUGAAGUGUUUAAGACAGGAACCCGGGAAUAAUCUAUGUGGCUACUACAUCUGUGAGCACAUGCACAGUUUUUUGGGACCCAAGGGACCGAAGAUGACGCCGCACAACUUUAAAGUACGUAAAAUAAAUAUAUUACUAGUUAAUUAUUUUCUAGCUCCUUAUAUGUAUUUGUUCAUGUAACAUUCACAAAUUUCCAAAUUAUAGAUGUUAAAUAUUCAACAAGGACUCUUGAAGGAAGAAAGAGUAGCGGCAAUAUGUGAAGGUCUCAUUGGAUUCAUAAUGGACGAGGUGGUAAAUCCAAGAGGAGAAUUUUAUUACGAUGGACGACAAUUAGACACUCCGAUCAGCAACACCACGACGGGAAGAUCGUAGGAAGAUACUUUGAUUUAUUUGUAUAUAUAAUACGCGCUAAUUAUAUGAUCGAUUUGUACUAAGCUAGUUGAAUUGUGUAUAUGAAUUGUGUAUAAGGAUUGUGUAUAUAUAUAGUAAUUGUAUAAUUACAAAUCCCAUUCGUUUAAAUACUAGUUGAUUUCGUUCUAAAAAAAUCUCAACUACAAGGUUAACAAAUUAAAAGGGCCGCGGUACUACGUAUACGUGAUGCAUGCAUGAAAAAUUCAGGCGUCACGGCAGUGCCAUGCAAGCGCCAUUUAGUCCCGGUUGGAAUCGAACCGGGACUAAAGGGGACCCCUUUAGUCCCGGUUGGGAAAUCCAACCGGGACUAAAGGGGGUCCUUUACUCCCGGUUAAAAGACCCGGGACUAAAGACCCCCCUUUUGUCCCGGUUGGUUUAUCCCGGAUGGAUAUCCGAGAGAUAUGCACCCUACCAACCGGGACUAAAGGCCAAUUCUCUACCAGUGGCAAGCUGAACGUGAAGAGACUUGAGAAGGAACCUUCCUUGGCACAAAUGGAUUUAUUGCUUCAGGAGAACUAUAAAGCUCUAGCGGGGCUUGAGAUGAAACUUGUGCAACUUCGCUGGAAACGAAAACGGAUUGUAAAGGAGAUAGAACGUGGAGAAGCAGAACUUUCAAGACUGGAAGAUGCUGGCAGGAGCAUGAAGAAAGCACUACAUGAUGACGAAAAGAUUGGCAGCAUCCUGGCUGAGCUGCACCAGAAGCUUAUGGCUUAAUAUGAGUUGGCCAUUCUCUUUGAUGUGUUUAGCUUGACAUCGUAUUGAGCAUUCUCCUGGGCUAGCUGUAGCUAGCUUAUAAGUUUGUCUAUGUGUCAUUGUAUUUUGGAUGAAUUUCGUUGGAUUAUCUGCUAAAUUUUAUUUACUACAAAUUGCUCUUGAUGUCAUGAUUAUGGAUGCUUGAUGCAAUUUAAAAAACCAAUUUGCUAGUUGGAUAUACUUAUUGUCUUGUUAAUGUGCUGAAUACGCACGCAACUUAUUUUUUCAGAAUUUUCUGGCCAUUGAUUUGCUUCAAUCUGUUAAAUUCUGCAACUGGGUCUUGUAUAACAUGGUACUGCAAUAUUAACUUAUAAUACAUAUGUGUUGUGUAGAUGAGAUGGUAAGAAACUCACCAGGUACAAAAUGUCCGCUCUCCAUCGGUGAGGGUUCAUAACUUGAGCCCAAUGCAAGUGAGGAGUCGGAGGACACCUCUUAAUUCUUAAGCCCCUCCAUUUUUCUGGGCAUGGAAGGAAGUAAGAGUGUGCUAGAGGUAGAAGAAAU